UACGUAGGGUGCGAGCGUUGUCCGGAAUUAUUGGGCGUAAAGAGCUCGUAGGCGGCUUGUCGCGUCGGAUGUGAAAGCCCGGGGCUUAACUCCGGGUCUGCAUUCGAUACGGGCAGGCUAGAGUUCGGUAGGGGAGAUUGGAAUUCCUGGUGUAGCGGUGGAAUGCGCAGAUAUCAGGAAGAACACCGAUGGCGAAGGCAGAUCUCUGGGCUGUAACUGACGCUGAGGAGCGAAAGCAUGGGGAGCGAACAGG
rnacentral:rRNA from 1 species